rnacentral:rRNA from 1 species
UACGGGGGGGGCAAGCGUUGUUCGGAAUUACUGGGCGUAAAGGGCGCGUAGGCGGCCCGCUAAGUCAGACGUGAAAUCCCUCGGCUCAACCGGGGAACUGCGUCUGAUACUGGCAGGCUUGAAUCCGGGAGAGGGAUGUGGAAUUCCUGGUGUAGCGGUGAAAUGCGCAGAUAUCAGGAGGAACACCGAUGGCGAAGGCAGCUCGCUGGGACGGUACUGACGCUGAGGCGCGAAAGCGUGGGGAGCAAACAGG